CAAAGAAUGAAGAGGGACCCAGGGAGUUCUGGUGACACAGGGAAGAAUGCUGGACUCCACUAGGAUAACUGGGAUACCCUGCCUGGUUGAGUUCUAAUCA